rnacentral:rRNA from 1 species
UUGAACGCUGGCGGCAGGCCUAACACAUGCAAGUCGAACGGUAACAGAAAGCAGCUUGCUGCUUUGCUGACGAGUGGCGGACGGGUGAGUAAUGUCUGGGAAACUGCCUGAUGGAGGGGGAUAACUACUGGAAACGGUAGCUAAUACCGCAUAACGUCGCAAGACCAAAGAGGGGGACCUUCGGGCCUCUUGCCAUCGGAUGUGCCCAGAUGGGAUUAGCUAGUAGGUGGGGUAACGGCUCACCUAGGCGACGAUCCCUAGCUGGUCUGAGAGGAUGACCAGCCACACUGGAACUGAGACACGGUCCAGACUCCUACGGGAGGCAGCAGUGGGGAAUAUUGCACAAAGGGCGCAAGCCUGAUGCAGCCAUGCCGCGUGUAUGAAGAAGGCCUUCGGGUUGUAAAGUACUUUCAGCGGGGAGGAAGGGAGUAAAGUUAAUACCUUUGCUCAUUGACGUUACCCGCAGAAGAAGCACCGGCUAACUCCGUG